GGGCAGGCCGCCCAUGGGCUUGC
rnacentral:snRNA from 1 species